rnacentral:rRNA from 1 species
AUUGAACGCUGGCGGCAGGCCUAACACAUGCAAGUCGAGCGGCAGCGGGAAAGUAGCUUGCUACUUUUGCCGGCGAGCGGCGGACGGGUGAGUAAUGCCUGGGAAAUUGCCCAGUCGAGGGGGAUAACAGUUGGAAACGACUGCUAAUACCGCAUACACCCUACGGGGGAAAGCAGGGGACCUUCGGGCCUUGCGCGAUUGGAUAUGCCCAGGUGGGAUUAGCUAGUUGGUGAGGUAAUGGCUCACCAAGGCGACGAACCCUAGCUGGUCUGAGAGGAUGGUCAGCCACACUGGAACUGAGACACGGUCCAGACUCCUACGGGAGGCAGCAGUGGGGAAUAUUGCACAAUGGGGGAAACCCUGAUGCAGCCAUGCCGCGUGUGUGAAGAAGGCCUUCGGGUUGUAAAGCACUUUCAGCGAGGAGGAAAGGUUGAUGCCUAAUACGUAUCAACUGUGACGUUACUCGCAGAAGAAGCACCGGCUAACUCCGUGCCAGCCGCCGCCGUAAUAC